UACAUUGAUGCCACUGAUUCUGUGG
rnacentral:piRNA from 1 species